AUACUUACCUGGCAGGAGAGAUACCAUGAUCACGAAGGUGGUUUUCCCAGGGUGAGGCUUAUCCAUUGCACUCCGGAUGUGCUGACCCCUGCAAUUUCCCCAAAUGUGGGAAACUCGACUGCAUAAUUUGUGGUAGUGGGGGACUGCGUUCGCGCUUUCCCCUU
rnacentral:snRNA from 1 species